ACGUAGGCGGCAAGCGUUGUCCGGAAUUAUUGGGCGUAAAGGGAGCGCAGGCGGGAAACUAAGCGGAUCUUAAAAGUGCGGGGCUCAACCCCGUGAGGGGGUCCGAACUGGCUUUCUUGAGUGCAGGAGAGGAAAGCGGAAUUCCCAGUGUAGCGGUGAAAUGCGUAGAUAUUGGGAAGAACACCAGUGGCGAAGGCGGCUUUCUGGACUGUAACUGACGCUGAGGCUCGAAAGCUAGGGUAGCGAACGG
rnacentral:rRNA from 1 species